rnacentral:rRNA from 1 species
CCUACGGGUGGCUGCAGUGGGGGAUAUUGCACAAUGGGGGGAACCCUGAUGCAGCGACGCCGCGUGGGUGAAGGAGUGCUUCGGCAUGUAAAGCUCUAUCGGCAGGGAAGAAGCAAGACGGUACCUGACUAAGAAGCCCCGGCUAACUAGGUGCCAGCAGCCGCGGUAAUACGUAGGGGGCGCGCGUUUUCCGGAUUCACUGGGGGUAAAGGGAUCGUAGACGGCCAUGCAAGCCAGGGGUGAAAGCCCGGGGCCCAACCCCGGGACUGCCCUUGGAACUGGAUGGCUGGAGUGCGGGAGGGGCAGGCGGAAUUCGUGGUGUAGCGGUGAAAUGCGUAGAUAUCAGGAGGAACACCGGCGGCGAAGGCGGCCUGCUGGACGAUGACUGACGUUGAGGCUCGAAAGCGUGGGGAGCAAACAGGAUUAGAUACCCCAGUAGUC